GUAAGACGAACAAAAAGUUUG
rnacentral:miRNA from 1 species